AGCCUUCUGUAUCCGUACUGAGAUUUCGUCACACUAGACAACAAGGGCUGAUGAGACUUCCAAGAUAAGUGAAGCG
rnacentral:pre_miRNA from 1 species